GACGAACGCUGGCGGCGUGCCUAAUACAUGCAAGUCGAGCGGACAGACGGGAGCUUGCUCCCUGAUGUUAGCGGCGGACGGGUGAGUAACACGUGGGUAACCUGCCUGUAAGACUGGGAUAACUCCGGGAAACCGGGGCUAAUACCGGAUGGUUGUCUGAACCGCAUGGUUCAGACAUAAAAGGUGGCUUCGGCUACCACUUACAGAUGGCCCGCGGCGCAUUAGCUAGUUGGUGAGGUAACGGCUCACCAAGGCAACGAUGCGUAGCCGACCUGAGAGGGUGAUCGGCCACACUGGGACUGAGACACGGCCCAGACUCCUACGGGAGGCAGCAGUAGGGAAUCUUCCGCAAUGGACGAAAGUCUGACGGAGCAACGCCGCGUGAGUGAUGAAGGUUUUCGGAUCGUAAAGCUCUGUUGUUAGGGAAGAACAAGUGCCGUUCAAAUAGGGCGGCACCUUGACGGUACCUAACCAGAAAGCCACGGCUAACUACGUG
rnacentral:rRNA from 1 species